GAUGAACGCUGGCGGCGUGCCUAAUACAUGCAAGUCGAGCGAACGGACGAGAAGCUUGCUUUUCUGAUGUUAGCGGCGGACGGGUGAGUAACACGUGGAUAACCUACCUAUAAGACUGGGAUAACUUCGGGAAACCGGAGCUAAUACCGGAUAAUAUUUUGAACCGCAUGGUUCAAAAGUGAAAGACGGUCUUGCUGUCACUUAUAGAUGGAUCCGCGCUGCAUUAGCUAGUUGGUAAGGUAACGGCUUACCAAGGCAACGAUGCAUAGCCGACCUGAGAGGGUGAUCGGCCACACUGGAACUGAGACACGGUCCAGACUCCUACGGGAGGCAGCAGCAGGGAAUCUUCCGCAAUGGGCGAAAGCCUGACGGAGCAACGCCGCGUGAGUGAUGAAGGUCAUCGGAUCGUAAAACUCUGUUAUUAGGGAAGAACAUAUGUGUAAGUAACUGUGCACAUCUUGACGGUACCUAAUCAGAAAGCCACGGCUAACUACGUG
rnacentral:rRNA from 1 species